AGCCUAUACAGGUGUUGCAUGGCUGUCGUCAGCUCGUGUCGUGAGAUGUUCGGUUAAGUCCGCUAACGAGCGCAACCCUCGUCGUAUGUUAUAUGUGUCAUACGAGACUGCCGGUAAAAAGCCGGAGGAAGGUGAGGAUGAUGUCAAGUCAGCAUGACCUUUAUAUCCAGGGCUACACACACGCUACAAUGGUCUGUACAAUGGGUAGCCAAGCCGCGAGGCGGAGCCAAUCCUGAAAGCAGGCCUCAGUUCAGAUUGCAGUCUGCAACUCGACUGCAUGAAGCCGGAGUUACUAGUAACCGCAGGUCAGCAAUACUGCGGUGAAUACGUUCCCGGGUCUU
rnacentral:rRNA from 1 species